AUUCUCUGCUUUCCACACAUCCAAAAAUUUGGGUUUUACAUUAGAUUUUGAAAGUCACCAGAUUUGAUCGUCGAUGUGGUAGAACUGAUUGCGAGAUGCUAGUUUCGGAGAGGACCUGAUCUUUUAGGAUAGAUUUGAACUUGUUAUUGUCUCUCUUGUGGCCUAAUUUCGAGAUUUCAGUUUUUGUUUUCCCGAUAUCUAUAUAAUUAUGGGACGGUUCGCGGCUGUUAUUUCGCGCUUUCCUGAUUCGAUGAGAGAAUGAUCGGAUUCUGUUGUAGCGACGGCAAUCUGUUGUGUUUCGUGAUAAUUUUUUAUGGUCGUGAUACUAGAUGAUAAUUGUUGUGGUGAUUGAAUGAGAAGGAUGAAGAGGAUCGACGUAUCGAUGCGGGGUUAGAAUAAAAAGUCUCACAUUUUCUGAUUCUCCCAAGUAGUUGUUUUUUUUUUCUUCCAGUUAGGACACGAGGUUCAUGUUCUUGUGUUUGAUUUAUGAUUUGGCUAGUUAUGGGCAGGUAGAUCUUGAUUCGGUGAGAGAGUGAGGAGUCACAAUAUAUUUUCAUAACACCAUGAUUCAUCUUGUCUUCAUUAUUGUAAAGGAGGGAGCGACAUGAAGUAGGAUUGAAUAGAGAAAUCAUUGUGAAUUGAUUUUCUUCAGUUAAACGAAGAGUGUAAUCUUGGUGGAGUCAUUACGUUUGACUGUUUCAGAGUCAUCUUUGCUGUCGUGGUUAGGAUUUGAAUUCUUUUCGGAAAAAGGCUGACGUAUGAUAGUGUGGAUUGGAGUUUAUAUCUAGCUACGGAUUUUUGUGAUGCGCACAAUUUGUUUCUACCUAUGAAUAUGCACUGUGUUUAUUUAUUUAUUUCCUUUUGAUAGAUCCUACUAUAUAUAUGAGAUUUCACAUACGCACACAUUUGUAACUGUUAAAAAUGUGACGCAAAAUUAGUCAGAGGUUGAAUUUCAAAGUCACAUUUGGUUGAGAGAAGCCAUUUGUAACUGUUAAAAAUGUGAAAGAAGACAUUUGGUUGAGAGGUUUGGUUGAAGAUCUCGGCUUACACCAAAGUGUCACUUCGGUAUUUUGUGACAGCCAGAGUGCUAUACAUUUGACGAAGCAUCAGAUGUAUCAUGAAAGAACCAAAGAUAUAGAUGUCAGGUAUCAUUUUAUCAAAGAAAUUAAAAUCAUCAAGAUUGAGAAGAUUAGUACUGCAGAUAAUCCAGCAGAUGUGAUGACGAAGCUCGUACCUUUGCGCAAGUUCGAGCACUGUUUCGAAUUGCUUAAAGUUCAACAAAGCGGAGGUUAAGCUCGGGCUAGACAUCAAGAGUAAAGAGAAGAUCUUCGUUUUCAAAGUCAGGGUGGAGAUUUGUUAAACAUGUGACUUUGAAAUUCAACCUCGGCCUAAUUCUGUGUCACAUUUUUCAAAAUUUGCAACCCCACCUAACAUUCCACCAAACAUUUUUUUUAUUAUAUUAUUAUUUUUGUAAGCUAUAUAAGGAGGGGUGUGGAAGGGUUUAAGAUCAUCAGUCGGAGAGAAAAAGAAAAGAAUUAGUUAGAGAGAAGAGAGUGAGAUAGAAAGAGAAAUCUUUCUUUGUGUGAUUCUCUUCUCUGGUUAGAGAGUGAUCUCCUCUUUUGUAAUCUUCUCUUUUGUGAUUAGUGCCCGUAGACGUAGGUCAUACUGCCUGGACCACAUUAAAUACUUGUGUGUUGUUCUCUUUGUCCACUAUUGUAUAGACAUCUUCUGUGUCUGUGAAGCCCCUCCGCUGCAACAGUAACCUUCUAGUUUGUUUCUUAUUUUAUUAUUAUCUUUUUAUUGAAAUGUUGGCAUGCUUAGACUUCAUGGUUUCUAAAAAGAGAAGAUUGUUUGCAAUUCUGCAGAAAUUUUAGAUCUCUUCAAUUUAAAAAUAGAGUUCUUUCUGAUGUGCAUUUGAUCUUGCUUUGCUUUGAUAGAAAGAUCCAACUUCUGCUGAAUCAGUACUUGCUUUCGUCCUUCUUCAUUCUGGUAACUAGGAUAUUUGGCAACUAGCUUUUGUUUGUAAACGAUAUUAGCUGCACAAAUCUUACUUACAUGGCUAUCCAGCCUUAAUGCCGAUGUCCAUAUUUGUUUUGGCUGCAAUAAUAGGAACUGAGGCUGUGAAGCUGCUCACGAAUGAAAGGCAGAACAAUGCUCAGAGGCACUAUCAUCUGUGUAUUGGUUGCAGUAUUAAUGGUUUUGUACAGGGACCAGCAACUAUUGGAAACUGUGAUUAUGAUCUACCAUCUAACAGUGAAAUAAGUGCUAUAUGUCAGCCUGAGCUAGCUAGAUAAGUGGCAUAUUGGCGUGCUAUGCUCAAACAAAACUCUUCAUGUAUGAAAACGGUAACUGCUUAGUUCUAGCCAAGUGCUCUUGCAAUAGCUGGGCAAGCCACUCCAUCAGCUUGAGGGUCAUGAAGGUGAAGUCCAUGAUGGAGACUGAGCUGUAGAAGAUGGAGAAUAUCCAUCUCACUAAACACAACCCUCCGCCUCUUGUGCAUGAAGUGCCCACGGCUGCUCUUAGUCAGAAGGCGGGAUCAAAGAUCUGGUCGGAAGUCAAUGUGGCUUUAGACUUUUUCAGAAGUAAUAAUGAAGGAGUGCUCGUCAUACGGGAGUGGGUGAGGUUGGGGAGACCACUGUUUUCAGCACCUAGCAAUGCAUUGACCAACCACCUAUCGCUUGGAUUUCAUUGGGUCGUUUUUAUAACUGGUAGAGCCCUGCCAUCCAUGGCUUAGGUUACGAAUGAGACCUAAUGAUAACCUAGUGGCAGGUUGUUCAAUACAUUGUUGAGGUGCUGAAGUACAGUGGUCUUUCCCACACCACCCAUUCCCCAGAUACCGAGCAUUCCUUAAUUACUGCUUCUGAGAAAGCCGAGAGCCAUGUCGACUUCCGACCGAGAGUGGUCGUGAGCACUUUCUGCAUAGAAAGUGGAGGGUUGGUAUUUUAUGAGUUAGAUAUUGUUAAAUCUUUUGCCGCUCGUUCUCCACCUUUAGCCUUCACCUCUCUGUCCCUCAAGCUGAGCAGCGAUUGAAGGAGCAAGUGUUAAGAACCGUUCGGUUUCUGUAUUUGUACUUGAUGAUAGCUGCAGCUUCUUUCUCGAGGUAUUCUACAGUUGCAAGCCAUACUUGAUACUUCUGCUACUUUUGUGGCCACCUUUGCCCUUUGGUUCAUCGAGUUGGACCUUAUCAGAAGCGUACACAGUAGAAGCUAUGAUCUAGCAUUCCAGCAAUUUUGCCAAGCAAAUUGUAAGAGAGUUGAACACUAGCAGAUCGAUCUUUGAUCCUUGUUCAUGACAGCAUGCCUGUGGCUUUGUGAGGGAGUUCUGCUUUUUUUCCCCCCCAAGGGUUUCCCAUAUGUACCCAAAAUUAUAAUAGCUUUGUAUUUUGUUCAUAUUUAACUCUCAUAGAUAGAUGUAUCUGAUACUAAGAAGUUGAAAUUCAAAUAUAUGAAUGAUGGAUCCACAGCUCAAGUUGAUUUA